rnacentral:tRNA from 1 species
GGAGAGGUGCUGGAGUGGUUGAACAGGCUCGCCUGGAAAGCGUGUAAUGGGGGAAACCUCAUUCGUGGGUUCGAAUCCCACCCUCUCCGCCA